rnacentral:lncRNA from 1 species
CUGUUUUUCUCUUCUAGGGAACAAACAAGAAUCCCAGAUUGAGUCAGAGAGUUGUGUAGCUAUAAGUUUGUGAAGCUUAUUCCCUAUCUAAGCUUCCCUGCCUCCUCUUUCUUACUCUUAUGUCACUCUUCUUGUUGGAGGGGACUUUACUUAUUGAUGAGGACCUUUAUGAAUAUGUCCUCCUUACCAUGAUUAUGUUGUCCAUAUUCCUUAUCUAAUCUGAUUUCACAGAUUUGUUAUCCAAACUAAAAUUACUCUUCACUGCAACUUCAUAGGCUUUCUCUUUAAGCUGACUGUUCACUGAAAUGUAAAUGUUAUUUUAAACUUGCUUCCUAGUCCUCUCAAUACUUUUAUUUGGCAAUCUUCCAGCUCAUUUUCAGCUUAACAUGUACUGUCUAUACACAAAAGUUCCUCUAUUUGCCUUUCUGCGCACUAGAGCUCUUAAACACCUAAUAUAAAGGGACCAUAAAGACCCAGAAUAAUAGAAUGUGCCUAUUAUAUAGAAAGAUACUGUUCAUAACUUGAUUGAUAAUGUGGGCUUUUUGUUCUAGUUGUUUCUUGUGCAAUCAGAGUAUCCAAAAAAAGGAUAAAGGGUAUGAAAUUUUCAGGUAGGCAUCAAAAGGGAUAAAAUUAGUUAUUCAGGAUAAUAUAAUGGAAUUAUUAAUUACUAUUUGGAGCUAAAUUGGUGACAUGGAAGGC